rnacentral:rRNA from 1 species
UACGUAGGGUGCGAGCGUUAAUCGGAAUUACUGGGCGUAAAGCGUGCGCAGGCGGUUAUGUAAGACAGAUGUGAAAUCCCCGGGCUUAACCUGGGAACUGCAUUUGUGACUGCACGGCUAGAGUGCGGCAGAGGGGGAUGGAAUUCCGCGUGUAGCAGUGAAAUGCGUAGAUAUGCGGAGGAACACCGAUGGCGAAGGCAAUCCCCUGGGCCUGCACUGACGCUCAUGCACGAAAGCGUGGGGAGCAAACAGG